AACGAACGCUGGCGGCAUGCCUAACACAUGCAAGUCGAACGAGACCUUCGGGUCUAGUGGCGCACGGGUGCGUAACGCGUGGGAACCUGCCCUUAGGUUCGGAAUAACUCCCCGAAAGGGGUGCCAAUACCGGAUAAUGUCUUCGGACCAAAGAUUUAUCGCCUUUGGAUGGGCCCGCGUUGGAUUAGCUAGUUGGUAGGGUAAAAGCCUACCAAGGCGACGAUCCAUAGCUGGUCUGAGAGGAUGAUCAGCCACACUGGGACUGAGACACGGCCCAGACUCCUACGGGAGGGAGCAGUGGGGAAUAUUGGACAAUGGGCGAAAGCCUGAUCCAGCAAUGCCGCGUGAGUGAUGAAGGCCUUAGGGUUGUAAAGCUCUUUUACCGGGAUGAUAAUGACAGUACCGGGAGAAUAAGCUCCGGCUAACUCCGUG
rnacentral:rRNA from 1 species